rnacentral:rRNA from 1 species
GAUGAACGCUGGCGGCGUGCCUAAUACAUGCAAGUCGAGCGAACAGACGAGGAGCUUGCUCCUCUGACGUUAGCGGCGGACGGGUGAGUAACACGUGGAUAACCUACCUAUAAGACUGGGAUAACUUCGGGAAACCGGAGCUAAUACCGGAUAACAUGUUGAACCGCAUGGUUCAACAGUGAAAGACGGUCUUGCUGUCACUUAUAGAUGGAUCCGCGCCGCAUUAGCUAGUUGGUAAGGUAACGGCUUACCAAGGCAACGAUGCAUAGCCGACCUGAGAGGGUGAUCGGCCACACUGGAACUGAGACACGGUCCAGACUCCUACGGGAGGCAGCAGUAGGGAAUCUUCCGCAAUGGGCGAAAUCCUGACGGAGCAACGCCGCGUGAGUGAAGAAGGUCUUCGGAUCGUAAAACUCUGUUAUUAGGGAAGAACAAAUGUGUAAGUAACUGUGCACGUCUUGACGGUACCUAAUCAGAAAGCCACGGCUAACUACGUG